UCUGCGUCUGACACCCCCUCCACGUCGGAUUUUUUUGUUUCCACUCAUUUCUUUUCAUUGUUUUGGUUCGCUAUGGUUGAAGAGGGAAAUCGCCGCUGAAAACUCCGCCACCUAGGAUUUUUUUUCUCUCCCCGAUUUCCUUCCCCAACCGAUUGAAAUCGACGAAACCGCUGGCCAACUCGGAUUUUUUCUCCCUCGUUGAUUUCUUUGGUGACGCUAGGGUUACCUCCUUCCUCUCCUCCCGCUAGAAAUCUCCCGCGGCUGGGUUUCGUGCUUGAUUUUCGUCUUUCGCCUGGAUUUCGUGCUUGAUUUUCAUAUUUAUCAAAAUUGAACCAAGUACCAGUCUCAAUCCCUGAAUCAUUCGCCCUGAACGACAUAGGAUGGGGAAGAACCAAGCGUACAAAGCGAUGGAGAUGUCGAGGCUGGGCUCGGCUCGGCCGCCGGUGGGCCUGAGGGGAUCGAGGACAGAAUGUUAGGACGCCGAAGCAGAUCAGGGAGCUGAUGAAGGUUGAUGGACUCACCAAUGAUGAAGUGAAGAGCCAUUUGCAGGUGAUUCUUGCUUCCUUUUUUGUAGAUUUCUAUGACUUGAGACUUAAAUACAAAUGGAAAUAUAUGCAAGUUCAUAUUGUGAUAUUUCAAGGAUUUUCAUAAACCUGUUUUUAUCAGAAAUUGCAUCCAAUUUGUCCAAUUUCUUUUUUCAUAUUGUGAUAUAUAUGUGUAUGUAUACAGACUUCUCUGAGUGUGAGAACAACAGUUAGCAUGUGUCUUCAUGUUGUUUAGUAAAAUUCAUACAUUAAAAGUUCAUGUAUGUGUUUGCACUGGUUGUGUUGUGGAGA